rnacentral:rRNA from 1 species
GACGUAGGGCGCGAGCGUUGUCCGGAUUUAUUGGGCGUAAAGAGCUCGUAGGCGGCUCGUUGCGUCGGCUGUGAAAACCCGCAGCUCAACUGUGGGCUUGCAGCUGAUACGGGCGGGCUGGGAUUCGGUAGGGGAGACUGGAAUUCCUGGUGUAGCGGUGAAAUGCGCAGAUAUCAGGAGGAACACCGGUGGCGAAGGCGACUACCUGGCCUGUUCUUGACGCUGAGGCGCGAAAGCUAGGGGAGCAAACGGG